CUAUUACCUUUAAAAGUGUUCCUUGAAGAGAAAAUCAACUCGCCGUUUCAAGCUUGACUUCCCUCCCCAGUCUUAGGGACUGAUCACUGGGGCAGAGUGACAUUUUCCGACAAUGCUGGCUCAUUAUUUUCCUCCCGGAAUUGCAAAUCCAAGGGUCAAGUGGUACAGCCUGCACCCAUCCAGAAGGGGAGGGAAUCCCACCAGAGGUACCCUGAAACAAAGAAAACAAAUAACUUCAAAACCACAUCCUAAAAUCUGGACCUGUGACAGGACAGAUGGAACUCUGGAUUGUUUGAUUCUAUCAGCAGAACAGAGGAAGGAAAUGUUUUAAAACGAGAUUAUGUUAUUUUCCCCAGUUAUUAUGAAACCUUCCUGAAAUGAACUUUAAAUAUCGGCCACCACUUUCAUGGGGCUGAAUGGGAUUCAGCAGUUAGGAGCGUUGCAGGAAGUGUGGCAGGGCAGAGGUGGGACAAAUUGCAGAUCCCUGUGGGGUCCUUUGGCUAGGUGACAAUUAGUCUAUAAAACACAGCUGUGUGUGUUGGGGAGGCAAUGGUGUCUUUAAAAAGCUCUGUGCCCAAUAGGAACAUUAAUUAAAGGGUCUUUUUUCAAAGGACAUUAAUCAUAAUGAAUAAAAAGCCUUCUGCGA
rnacentral:lncRNA from 1 species